rnacentral:rRNA from 1 species
GACAGAGGGUGCAAACGUUGUUCGGAAUUACUGGGCGUAAAGCGAGUGUAGGCGGUUUCCUAAGUCAGGUGUGAAAGCCCCGGGCUCAACCCGGGAAGUGCACUUGAAACUGGGAGGCUAGAGUAUCGGAGAGGAAGGUGGAAUUCCCGGUGUAGCGGUGAAAUGUGUAGAGAUCGGGAGGAACACCGGUGGCGAAGGCGGCCUUCUGGGCGGUGACUGACGCUGAGGCGCGAAAGCGUGGGGAGCAAACGGG